rnacentral:lncRNA from 1 species
GAUCUCUCUAGUUUUAAUUCCAAUUUAGACAUUAAACCCCAUUUUCACUGUCCAUUAAACAAAGAAAAAAUGAUAGUGCGGAUGGGGCAUCCGUGUACUGGGCACACAUUUUUGUUGAUAAAUAAUUGUAAGAUGCAGAUUUCAGUGUCGCUAACAGCAUUUUAUAAAAGGAGACAAAAAUAGACUGACAAAGCCAUGGCUAAAAAAAAGAAGAUAAAAAGCCACACCAAAGCAACUCUCCGGCAGUUCCAGCUCCGAUCCGUAAACUACUCUACAGA